ACAAUAGGCCUAUAUUAAAUAUGUAGAAUAUAGAAUGACAUCAAAACAUUUAUAUGCAAAGAACAGGUUAAUAUAUAUACUAAUUUAUAUAUAUACACACACACACACACACACACUAAUUUUAAGUCUGUAUUUUACUCAGCCUGUGGAUUCUUGGGCUAAAUUUGGCAACUUUCCAGCCCAGACAGCAAGUAUGAAUCAUUUUUGCUAGUAUUCAUUUAAGUCAAGAAUUUGAGAUAAAUAAUUCUGUGGAAAGACAAACUUGGAAUAAGAAUUCAUUCAUGGGAUGAAUUCACUCUUUAAGGUAACUGCCAAAAUCAGGACACAGUUCUCAUCUGCCUGAAUCUUUCUGAAUUUGGUUGUGAUUUUAGAGAAAUGCUGGUAGCAGAUGUUACCCUCAUAGUAAAUAGAAGCAAAAGUAGAUCUUACCCCUAAGGAUGCAUUGUAUUACUUCUGUCCCCCAAAAUAUUCUGAUUCUUUCAUAUAACAAAUCUAUUACUACUAAACUUUGUAUUAAUGUUUUUUAUAAAUACCUUUAAAUACAAAUACAAAAUGCUUUUGAACUCUGUUACUUUUUAAAAAGGAAAAUAAUGCCUACUUCAAUUUAUACUAAGUCUAAUUCGAACAGAUCCCAUCCAUCUUUCUAUAUGAGAAUAAUCUGGGGAGUAUUUAAAGUGCUGAGUUUUGCACCCUCUCUAUCCUUUGAGGUUCCCUCUGAUUUUCAAGUUUUGAAGAAGGAUCAAGCUCCUCAAUUAAUCCUGAGGGAGGAAGGUUUGUUGAGGAGGGAGCCCCACCAGAUAGCCACUGUUUAUGAACUCCUCAGAGACCUACAAGCCGGCUACCUGGUAGCUUUGUUGGAAUAUACUGGGCCACCACACCUACACCAUCGCUGUUUCUACUCCAAACCAGCUAUAGAUCAAUGAAUAUUUGAAGCAUUUGCACUGAAAUGAGUAUCUGAAGACACAGAGAGCAAAGAAGGUACAGCAAUCCUAACAUUGUGUUGUCUACGGGAAAUUUCACAGUUCCAACAAUGGAUCUGCAGGCAUAUUUUGACCUUUACUUUAUGCAGUGAGUAAAGUACAUAAUUAUCAGAACUGUAGAUGGGUAAGUGGAGACUCAAAGCAUCUAAGGACUGUCCAGGGUCACAGGACUGAGGAUCACUGGCCUGGACCACAUGACACUGUCACCAUCACAUCUCUCAAUGUAUUACAGGAAAUGCACCACGCUCUUUUCCCCUGUAGCUGUCAUUUGCUAUAGGUGGGGUCAUUUUUAGGUUAUUUAAAACUGGCCUUGCCGGUAUGUGCUUGGCCCUCUGGGCUGCUUCCUGGGAAUCACAUUUGG